GACGAACGCUGGCGGCGUGCUUAACACAUGCAAGUCGAACGGUAAGGCCCUUCGGGGUACACGAGUGGCGAACGGGUGAGUAACACGUGGGUGAUCUGCCCUGCACUUCGGGAUAAGCCUGGGAAACUGGGUCUAAUACCGGAUAGGACCACUGCCUGCAUGGGUGGUGGUGGAAAGCUUUUGCGGUGUGGGAUGGGCCCGCGGCCGAUCAGCUUGUUGGUGGGGUGAUGGCCUACCAAGGCGACGACGGGUAGCCGGCCUGAGAGGGUGACCGGCCACACUGGGACUGGGUUACGGCCCAGACUCCUACGGGAGGCAGCAGUAGGGAAUAUUGCACAAUGGGCGCAAGCCUGAUGCAGCGACGCCGCGUGAGGGAUGACGGCCUUCGGGUUGUAAACCUCUUUCAGCACCGACGAAGCGCAAGUGACGGUAGGUGCAGAAGAAGGACCGGCCAACUACGUGCCAGCCGCCGCCGUAA
rnacentral:rRNA from 1 species